rnacentral:rRNA from 1 species
CGUCAAAUCAGCACGGCCCUUACAUCCGGGGCGACACACGUGUUACAAUGGGAGGGACAAAGGGCAGCUACCGGGCGACCGGAUGCGAAUCCCGAAACCCUCUCUCAGUUCGGAUCGGAGUCUGCAACCCGACUCCGUGAAGCUGGAUUCGCUAGUAAUCGCGCAUCAGCCAUGGCGCGGUGAAUACGUUCCCGGGCCUU